GCGCGAAAACUUUGCAAUGCGGGAAACCGUGACAAGGGAACUCCGAGUGCCCGUAAAUUCGGGCUGUCCAUCAGUUUAAAUAACUGGUGAAGAAAGGGCCGGGCAAGACCGGUGCCAGCCGCCGCGGUAAUACCGGCGGCUCGAGUGGUGGCCACUAUUACUGGGCUUAAAGCGUCCGUAGCUGGUCUGUUAAGUCUCUGGGGAAAUCUACCGGCUUAACCGGUAGGCGUCUCAGGGAUACUGGCAGACUAGGGACCGGGAGAGGUGAGAGGUACUCCAGGGGUAGGAGUGAAAUCCUGUAAUCCUUGGGGGACCACCUGUGGCGAAGGCGUCUCACCAGAACGGCUCCGACAGUGAGGGACGAAAGCUGGGGGAGCAAACCGGAUUAGAUACCCGGGUAGUCCCAGCUGUAAACGAUGCGCGUUAGGUGUAUCGGUGACCACGAGUCACCGAGGUGCCGAAGGGAACCGUGAAACGUGCCGCCUGGGAAGUACGGUCGCAAGGCUGAAACUUAAAGGAAUUGGCGGGGGAGCGACCACGAACGGGUGGAGCCUGCGGUUUAAUC
rnacentral:rRNA from 1 species